GCUUGUUUCAGCAGCAUAUACUAAAAUUGGAACGAUACAGAGAAAAGUAAAAUGGCCCCUCACAAUGAUGACAUGCAAAUUCAUGAAGCGUUCCAUACUUUA